CGAAUAUGAUGAUGAUGAUGUUGAUGAUGACGAUGAUGAUGAUGAUGGAACUAUUUUUCAUCAUCAUCGUCGUCGUCAUCAUCAUCGUCGCUUGAU
rnacentral:pre_miRNA from 1 species